GACGAACGCUGGCGGCGUGCUUAACACAUGCAAGUCGAACGGAAAGGCCCCUUUGGGGGUACUCGAGUGGCGAACGGGUGAGUAACACGUGAGUAACCUGCCCUUGACUUCGGGAUAACUUCAGGAAACUGGGGCUAAUACCGGAUAGGAAUCCUUGCUGCAUGGUGGGGGUUGGAAAGCUUCGGCGGUUUUGGAUGGACUCGCGGCUUAUCAGCUUGUUGGUGGGGUAGUGGCUUACCAAGGCUUUGACGGGUAGCCGGCCUGAGAGGGCGACCGGCCACAUUGGGACUGAGAUACGGCCCAGACUCCUACGGGAGGCAGCAGUGGGGGAUAUUGCACAAUGGGCGGAAGCCUGAUGCAGCAACGCCGCGUGCGGGAUGACGGCCUUCGGGUUGUAAACCGCUUUCAGCAGGGGCGAAGCUUGUGGUGACGGUACCUGCAGAAGAAGCACCGGCUAACUACGUG
rnacentral:rRNA from 1 species